rnacentral:rRNA from 1 species
CCUGGGGAGUACGGCCGCAAGGCUAAAACUCAAAGGAAUUGACGGGGGCCCGCACAAGCGGCGGAGCAUGCGGAUUAAUUCGAUGCAACGCGAAGAACCUUACCUGGGUUUGACAUAUGCCGGAAAGCUGCAGAGAUGUAGCCCCCGCAAGGUCGGUAUACAGGUGGUGCAUGGCUGGGGGGGGCUCGUGUCGUGAAAAAAAGGGUUAAGUCCCGCAACGAACGCACCCACGUCCUAUGUUGCCAGCGGAUAAUGCCGGGGACUCAUAGGAGACUGCCGGGGUCAACUCGGAGGAAGGUGGGGAUGACGUCAAGUCAUCAUGCCCCUUAAGUCCAGGGCUUCACGCAUGCUACAAUGCCUGGUACAAAGGGCUGCAAAACCGCAAGGUCAAGCGAAUCCCAAAAAGCCA